AAUUUAAUUAAUAAUGCCUUUUACAAGUACUGUAGAGACCUUUAAAGAAAAUUCAUACCACUCAACAAGCAUAUGCCAUAGCGAAGCAGAGACAAUGCUAUAAUCAAUAGAUUCCUCCAAAGAAUGUUUAAGCUCGUUUUUUUCAUCCAGCAGCCUCCAUUGAGUUAUAGGACCAGGGUUGUCGCCUUCUCCAUAUAUAAAGUCAACGUAUCCUUCGAACCAGUCAUAGUCAAUUAAAAAGGCAGUUUUUUCUUUUUUCCAUUUUUCUUUAUCCUCUUUAAUUAAAUUUAUCGAAUCUUGGAACGGCAAUGAAGCAGGUUGGUCGAUCCAAAUUUGGGAAUAUCGAGUGCUUGCGUUUUGAGUAGCAGUUGAUGCCAUUCUCAAAACAUGGUCAUUUAUUCG